rnacentral:rRNA from 1 species
GGAGGUAGUGACAAUAAAUCACAAUGCGGAACUUUUAGUUUUGCAAUUGGAUUGAGAACAAUGUACAAAUGUUAUCGAUAAACAAUUGGAGGGCAAGUCUGGUGCCAGCAGCCGCGGUAAUUCCAGCUCCAAUAGCGUAUAUUAACGUUGUUGCAGUUAAAAAGCUCGUAGUUGAAAUGUGGGAUGAAGUAUAUAAUGAAUUUUUAAUUCAAUUCUAUAUUGAUUCCCCUCUCCAAUUUAUUAUUAUGGGUAUUAAUUUAUUUGUAAUAAGAAUUGGUCAUUUACUGUGAGAAAAUUAGAGUGUUCAAAGCAGGCAUUUGCUUGAAUAGAUUAGCAUGGAAUAAUAAUAAAAGGCUUUUAUGGUCGAUUUAAUUGGUUUGUUCAUAAAAGCAAGAUUAAAAGGAACAGUUGGGGGUAUUCAUAUUCAAUAGUUAGAGGUGAAAUUCUCGGAUUUAUGGAAGAUGAACAAGUGCGAAAGCA